GAUGAACGCUGGCGGCGUGCCUAAUACAUGCAAGUCGAGCGAACAGAUAAGGAGCUUGCUCCUUUGACGUUAGCGGCGGACGGGUGAGUAACACGUGGGUAACCUACCUAUAAGACUGGAAUAACUCCGGGAAACCGGGGCUAAUGCAGGAUAACAUGUUGAACCGCAUGGUUCUACAGUGAAAGGCGGCUUUGCUGUCACUUAUAGAUGGACCCGCGCCGUAUUAGCUAGUUGGUGAGGUAACGGCGCACCAAGGCAACGAUACGUAGCCGACCUGAGAGGGUGAUCGGCCACACUGGAACUGAGACACGGUCCAGACUCCUACGGGAGGCAGCAGUAGGGAAUCUUCCGCAAUGGGCGAAAGCCUGACGGAGCAACGCCGCGUGAGUGAUGAAGGUCUUCGGAUCGUAAAACUCUGUUAUUAGGGAAGAACAAAUGCGUAAGUAACUGUGCGCGUCUUGACGGUACCUAAUCAGAAAGCCACGGCUAACUACGUG
rnacentral:rRNA from 1 species